UACGUAGGGUGCAGGCGUUAAUCGGAAUUACUGGGCGUAAAGCGUGCGCAGGCGGUAUCUUAAGUCAGAUGUGAAAUCCCCGGGCUUAACCUGGGAAUGGCAUUUGGGACUGCAAGGCUGGAGUGUGGCAGAGGAGACUGGAAUUCCUGGUGUAGCAGUGAAAUGCGUAGAUAUCAGGAGGAAUACCGAUGGCGAAGGCAGGUCUCUGGGCUGACACUGACGCUCAUGCACGAAAGCGUGGGGAGCAAACAGG
rnacentral:rRNA from 1 species